UACGUAGGGGGCGAGCGUUGUCCGGAAUCAUUGGGCGUAAAGAGCGUGUAGGCGGCUUGGCAAGUCUGACGUGAAAGCCCGCGGCUCAACCGCGGAUUGUCGUUGGAAACUGCCUCGCUAGAGUCCGGAAGAGGAGAGCGGAAUUCCUGGUGUAGCGGUGGAAUGCGCAGAUAUCAGGAAGAACACCCGUGGCGAAGGCGGCUCUCUGGGACGGUACUGACGCUGAGACGCGAAGGCGUGGGGAGCGAACAGG
rnacentral:rRNA from 1 species